AAAACUUUCAACAAUGGAUCUCUUGGUUCCGGCAUCGAUGAAGAACGCAGCGAACUGCGAUAAGUAAUGUGAAUUGCAGAAUUCAGUGAAUCAUCGAGUCUUUGAACGCACAUUGCGCCCCCUGGCAUUCCGGGGGGCAUGCCUGUCCGAGCGUCAUU
rnacentral:rRNA from 9 species